GCUUUCGUUACUGUUGCCUUAAUGAACAUAGAAAUGAAACUCCAAAAGACUGUCGUGAGAAUGUCCGCCAUACAGCUUCUUCUACAGUAAGAUGUGAAAAUAUCUGUGCUAGAACUGUUUAUAGUAGUUCGCAAAGGAUGUUUUUAAUUUCUAGAUAUAUAUAAUUCUAUAAUUGCUUUACACAUCAGGCAUUUAUUUCGGAGGACCUUAAUUAGGUUUUGAAGGCAUAGCUAAGUAAUGAAACUGAACUUUAUGAAUUGAAGAAAACUGUGGAACAUGUAUGUUCAUAUUAUUUUAUAUAUUUUACUUUUUUUUAGCAUAGUUUGAAAAGUUCUGUUCCACACCCAGGAGAAAAAUAUUAAACAGCUCCGCAUUUUGUUUUUCAGCGUGCAGUGACCUGGAAUUCAGGGAGGUGGCAAACAGAUUGAGAGACUGGUUUAAGGCACUUCAUGAAAGUGGAAUUCAGAAUAAGAAGACUAGGAUUGUUCAAAGGCCUGAAAGAACCAGAUUUGAUACCAGCAUUUUGCCAAUUUGCAAAGACUCCCUUGGCUGGAUGUUUAACAGGCUUGAUACGAACUAUGACCUGUUGUUGGACCAGUCAGAACUUGGAAGCAUUUACCUUGACAAGAAUGAGCCAUGCACCAGGGCGUUCUUCAAUUCUUGUGACACAUACAAGGACAGUUUGAUAUCAAACAAUGAGUGGUGCUACUGCUUCCAAAGACAGCAAGGUAAAAGACGAGAACAACCUGCAUAUGUAUAUGAUUGACCUUUUUUGUAGUGCUUUAUCUUUUUUUUAACAUAGUAAGAAGAUUACAGUGAACUACAGACUCUUAAAUGCUGUACCAUGAAUUUGUGUUAAGGUUUUUGACCUAUUGUGAAUACCUAAAAUGAAGUUUAAAAAAAAAAAAAAAAAACAAAAACCAACAACAGGAAAAAAACCCAAAGAAACAACCCAAGCUAAAUGGAAAGGCUUGCUAGAAAUUCAAAGAUUCUAAAUAAAGUGCAAAAGAGUGGCUAAUGCUUUUACAGCAAUAUUGUUUCUCAUGCCAACUUCCAGUAAGUAUGCAGAGGAAAGAGACCAAAAUAAAGAACAAAAUUACUUAAAUUAUUUCUUUCCCAAUCUACUUCACCUACACUAUAAAAUAAACUUUUUUUAUUGCUGAAGUAGGGCAUCUUAAUGUUCCAUUUUGUGAGCCUAUUAAAAUAACUGAAUGAACAUUAUGGAUAAAGUUAUUUCCAGUCAUUUGGAUUUAAAACCAAUUGAUUUUUUACUGUCUAGAUGAAUCUCUUGUUAAUGUCCUGAUGUGAUUUCGUUAAACAAAUAAACACAACCUUAAGCAUUAUUUUCCUGAGGAUCAUACAACAAUUUUAGAUCUAGGUAAGGCAUCACAUAAAGUAUAUAAUCAAACUAGUUGUAAUGAAUCAAAGAAUUUACUUAUUAAAUAUUGGCUGAAACUGAACAGAAUUGCCCCUUCAUUUUUCUUACUAACAUGAGGGAGAUUUUCAAAGGGAUAAAUAGCAGCCAGGGUCCAAAUUUCUACUGCCAGCAGAGGAGAUAAGACUGAUUUGGUGAAAAGUUCACCAGUUUUUAAAUCUCAGUUGUGCCCUUAAAACUCUCCUGAUAAAUUCCCAUUAGCGUGCAGCAUCUAUGGUUUGACUCUGAUUUCUGUGGAAGUAAAGAUUCAUGCCACAUCUGCCAGAUGUAAAUCUGAACAAAAAUAAAGCUGUACUUCUGUAGAUACAUAUUGAAUAGCAGACUUCUUUUCUUUGGUAACUUUAGUUAAAAAGUUAACAUCUAAUCUUUCAAAAGACCUUGUUUGUUUUACAGUAGAACAAUAUUUUGGUUUUUAUUUGUAUAAGCAUGCAUGUACUGCUAACAAAAUUAGCAAAUGAAAAAUAACCCAUCCCAGAAGUAAAGUAGUUCUUAAAGUAAAGAACAUAACAUUUUUUGUUUGGUUGUCUUCAAAAUAAAAAAAAAAAAAACACCACAAUCAUUUCAGCUUAAUAUGUAAACACCCUAACUCUUUAGAGGGCAGCAUAAUUCUUUUCAAUUGUCAGAGAAAGCACAACACAUAACAUGUGGCCUAGUAUGGUCCAAGGCUCUUCUACCAAUUUCAUAUAAGUUGUGUAGAGCAUAACCAGGAGAUUAAGAAAGCACUACCACAGAUAAGUUUCACGUACUUUUGCAUUCUAUAGGCUAUAAAUUCUAUUUGUCUAAAGUAUUUACUCAGUGUACUGCUAGAACCCAAGGAUGGUAUCGUAAAGACUUAUCUAAACACUGGUGAACUAUAUUAAUGGUACCCUGUAGGCUGAAAAUCUGGGAUCCAGCUUUCAGUGACACAGAUUCUCCCCACUGAAGAAUCCAACAUCAUCAAGCUUUCCUUCCUCUUUGACCAGUUUCCUCACUGUCUUGACCAUGGUGGUGUGAUAAGGUGCUGAUUUAAAACAGAUUAGAUAGCUUGUGAUACCACAGUGUGUUUGAGCAUAUAGCAAAAAAAGUUGUAUCCUCAACUUUGUAAAUGAGGUGAAAUCUGAGUUUUGGCAAUCCUUGCACAUUAAACAUGCACUCUAUCCCUCCAAAUUAACACUGUCAACAAAAUCUAUGGUCUCCUCCUUUUUUGAAGAUGUAAGGAGGAAAAAAAGCUUGUAGUAUUCUUUUGUCACAUCUUAUUAUUAGCUCUUGCACAACUAUGAGUGCUAACUGUCUAGUGUAUUAGUGACCCACUGAAUUCUCUAUUCAUAAUUUGCAGUGGUAUGCUAAACCUUGUAAUAUGUUUAUGUUUGGUUAUGUUUUACUUGACUGAACAAUGUAAAUAAGAUCUUUAACUAGAACUUUACUAUUAAUAGCAAAGAGAUGGCUAGGUAGAGAAAUUCAGUGGCUUCUUUCUGAUGUUUACUAAAAUAGGUUGAUAUUAACAGAAUGCUUCAAGCCAUGUAGACAGCGCUCUCUAUUCAUUGAGCUUAGUAGGUGUUUUCUGGGCAGAUCUACAGUUUUACAGCACUGCUGUUGAUUAACAAUGUUCAAAGUGAAUACAAAAUUUAGUCAACAAAGUGUAUCAUACUGGGAUAGAAAUUCCAUUGUGCUUUUAUAAAAUACUUAGUAUUUGCUUGAGUCGUUAUCUGAGAAGCCCUCUUGCUCUUUGAUCUUAGCUUCACAGUUCAAGACUGCCAAGAUCAGACAAGUACUUGCAACUCUUCUCAUUCUUUCUUUCUGCUUGAGUUCUGUCGUGAUGUAUUACAGUACACUAGACCCGUUACUGCACAUUACUCACAACUUCUAGUCAAUAUAAGCAACUUCUUAUGAAUACUUAAGUCAGAUGUUUGUUGCUCAGAAAAA
rnacentral:lncRNA from 1 species